rnacentral:rRNA from 1 species
UGUAAGCGUAUACCAAAGUUGUUGCAGUUAAAACGCUCGUAGUCGGAACUUGGCCGUGUCGGAUGUGUGCACGUCGUGUGCGCACUUCGCGGGGAUUGCUUUUGUGGUCUUGCGUAGGAUGAGGCACUUUUAUUAGUGAACGUCCUCACGCAACCACUUUUUACUGUGAGAAAAUCAGAGUGCUCAAAGCAGGCAUUUGCCGUGAAUGUAUUAGCAUGGAAUAAUAGAAUAGGACUUGGUUCUAUUUUGUUGGUUUGUUGGGACUGAGUAAUGAUUAAGAGGGACAGUUGGGGGCAUUUGUAUUUCGGUGCUAGAGGUGAAAUUCUUAGAUUACCGAAAGACAAACUGCUGCGAAAGCGUCUGCCAAGGAUGUUUUCAUUGA